rnacentral:lncRNA from 1 species
CGCGUAGAUCACGAAUAUAAACUUAGUUUUUUCAAAAAUAGUUUGUAACUCAAAGAAAAUUCAAAACUUUAAAACCCAAAAAAUUUGAAAAUCUAUAUUUGAACAAAUUAAUCAAAACCAAUGGUUGUAAAAGCUUCAGUGAUGGUUCAUGAGUAAAAAACGUUUAGAAACUUACUUGUUUUGAUGCCUUCUUAGGUGAGUUAGAACUCACUCUUUUCUUUGCAAUUUUUGAACCUUGUAUAAGCUUUUGUUGAUGGUUUCUCUUCGUUUUUCUUUGUGUGUUUCACUACUGGUAUAUGUUAGAAUGGAUUAGUGAAAGAAAAUUGAAGUUUGAGGGUGGUUUGAAUGGAUUUCGAAAAAUGAAAAAAAGUGAUGAAAAAAAAUGUGUUUUUUGGCUUUUUUCUUCUCUCAAUUUCUCUCUUCAAUCGCCCCUCCUUUCUGAGUUUCGGUUGCUUUAUUUAUACCCAAAAAUUAGGGUUUAUGUUUGAUGGAAAAGGGAAAAAGUUGACUUUCAAUUUUUCCUUGUUGGAAGUAAUGGUCCGAAUGGGAAAGAGGACAACUGUUUGAGUUUAUUGUUCAGUUGGCUGCAGGAAUUUUAACGUGUUCUUCUUGUUGCAGAAUUUUUGGGAAAAAGAAAGAAGAGAAAGGAAAAAUCCUUUCUGGGUUGGAGAAUCAUGCACUGACCUUUGCUGUUCUUGGACAUUUUU